AUGACAACUGGCCCUGAUGUUUUCACCCUGUUGUGGUCUGUGAUGUUGAUAGAGGUUUCAACACAUUACGUGGUGGAAGUGGUUGUUGGGCCCGUGGUGACUUCUUUAGGUGGCUUUGUGGGAUGUAGAUUAAUGUCUCCGUUGUGGUUUCUUCAACUGUGUCGUUUCACCUGUGGUAGGUGGUAGUUACCUCUGUUGUUGUUGUUAAAGUGUGGGAUUGGAUGUAAUGACACUGGCCCUGAUGUUUCUUCACCUGUGUUGUGGGCUGUGUGUUGAGUGAGGUUUCAACAAUUACAGUGGUGGAAGUGGUUGUUGGGCCAAGGUGACUCUUUAGGUGGUUUUGUAGAUGGACUUGUCUCAUUUGUGGUUUCAACUGUGUCGUUCCACCUGUUGUAGGUGUCGUUUGUGGGUGCAAUUGUGUUGUUGUUAAAGUGUGGGAUUGGAGUAAUGACAACUGGCCCUGAUGUUUCUUCACCUGUUGCUGUGGGCUGUGAUGUUGAAGUAGAGGUUUCAACAAUUACAGUGGUGGAUGAGUGGUUGUUGGGCCCGUGGGACUUCUUUAGGUGGUUUGUGGAUUGUAGAUGAAAUGUCUCAGUUGUGGUUUCUUCAACUUUUGUAGUUCACCUGUGGUAGGUGUAGUGGUGCCUUGAGUUGUGGUUGAUGUAGUGGGAUUGGAAGUUUAUGACAACUGGCCCUGAUGUUUCUCACCUGUUGUGUGGCGGUGUGAUGUUGAGUGAGAGGUUUCAACAAUUCAGUGGUGGAAGUGGUUUGGGGCCGUGGGGGACUUCUUUAGGUGGCUUUGUGGAUGUUGUUGAAUUGACUGAUGUGGUUUCUUCAAUUUUGUAGUUCCACCCGUGGUAGGUGUCGUGUUGGGGGUGCAAUUGUGUUGUGGUGAUCGUGGGAUUGGAAUGUAAUGACAACUGGCCCUGAUGUUUCUUCACCUGUUGCUGUGGGCUGUGAUGUUGAAGUAGAGGUUUCAACAAUUACGUGGUGGAAGUGGUUGUUGGGCCGGAAGUGACUUCUUUAGGUGGGUUUUGUAGAUGGACUUGUCUCAUUGUGGUUCUUCAACUGUUGUCGUUCCACCUGUGGUAGGUGUCGUUGUGUGGUGCAAUUGUUGUUGUUGUUAAAGUAGUGGGAUUGGAAGUAAUGACAACUGGCCCUGAUGUUUUCUUCACCUGUUGCGUGGGCUGUGAUGUUGAAGUAGAGAGGUUCAACAAUUACAGUGGUGGAGGUGUUGUUGGGCCAGAGGUGACUUCUUUAGGUG
rnacentral:lncRNA from 1 species